rnacentral:pre_miRNA from 1 species
ACAACAUUUGGACCGUCGCUCUACCGCGAUAUUUAACCUACUCUGUGGAAGAUCUUCCCUUAGUCGU